rnacentral:rRNA from 1 species
AUUGAACGCUGGCGGCAGGCCUAACACAUGCAAGUCGAACGAGUGGCGGACGGGUGAGUAAUGUCUGGGAAACUGCCCGAUGGAGGGGGAUAACUACUGGAAACGGUAGCUAAUACCGCAUACCAUCGGAUGUGCCCAGAUGGGAUUAGCUAGUAGGUGGGGUAACGGGUCACCUAGGCGACGAUCCCUAGCUGGUCUGAGAGGAUGACGAGCUAGACUGGAAGUGAGACACGGUCAAGAUUCCUACGGGAGGCAGCAGUAGGGAAUAUUGCACAAUGGGCGCAAGACUGAUGCAGCCAAGCCGCGUGUAUAAAGAAGGCCUUCGGGUUGUAAAGUACUUUCAGCGAGGAGGCGUUACUCGCAGAAGAAGCACAGGCAAACUCCGUGCCAGCAGCCGCGGUAAUUC